AGAGUUUGAUCAUGGCUCAGGACGAACGCUGGCGGCGUGCUUAACACAUGCAAGUCGAACGAUGAUCCAGAGCUUGCUCUGGUGAUUAGUGGCGAACGGGUGAGUAACACGUGAGUAACCUGCCCUUGACUCUGGGAUAAGCGUUGGAAACGACGUCUAAUACCGGAUACGACCAGCCCCGGCAUCGGGUGUUGGUGGAAAGAAUUUUGGUCAAGGAUGGACUCGCGGCCUAUCAGGUAGUUGGUGAGGUAAUGGCUCACCAAGCCUACGACGGGUAGCCGGCCUGAGAGGGUGACCGGCCACACUGGGACUGAGACACGGCCCAGACUCCUACGGGAGGCAGCAGUGGGGAAUAUUGCACAAUGGGCGAAAGCCUGAUGCAGCAACGCCGCGUGAGGGACGACGGCCUUCGGGUUGUAAACCUCUUUUAGCAGGGAAGAAGCGAAAGUGACGGUACCUGCAGAAAAAGCACCGGCUAACUACGUGCCAGCAGCCGCGGUAAUACGUAGGGUGCAAGCGUUGUCCGGAAUUAUUGGGCGUAAAGAGCUCGUAGGCGGUUUGUCGCGUCUGCUGUGAAAACCCGAGGCUCAACCUCGGGCCUGCAGUGGGUACGGACAGACUAGAGUGCGGUAGGGGAGAUUGGAAUUCCUGGUUUAGCGGUGGAAUGCGCAGAUAUCAGGAGGAACACCGAUGGCGAAGACAGAUCUCUGGGCCGUAACUGACGCUGAGGAGCGAAAGGGUGGGGAGCAAACAGGCUUAGAUACCCUGGUAGUCCACCCCGUAAACGUUGGGAACUAGAUGUGGGGACCAUUCCACGGUCUCCGUGUUGCAGCUAACGCAUUAAGUUCCCCGCCUGGGGAGUACGGCCGCAAGGCUGAAACUCAAAGGAAUUGACGG
rnacentral:rRNA from 1 species